GUCCUCGUGGAGCACGGUAGCUCGCUCCCGCUUAGUCAUUCUCUGCAUAAUAGGCCCAAUAAUUCAGGGAGAGAAGGUGGUUCGAAUCCGCCCGAGGACG